GAUGAACGCUGGCGGCGUGCCUAAUACAUGCAAGUCGAGCGAACAGACGAGGAGCUUGCUCCUCUGAUGUUAGCGGCGGACGGGUGAGUAACACGUGGAUAACCUACCUAUAAGACUGGGAUAACUUCGGGAAACCGGAGCUAAUACCGGAUAACAUGUUGAACCGCAUGGUUCAACAGUGAAAGACGGUCUUGCUGUCACUUAUAGAUGGAUCCGCGCCGCAUUAGCUAGUUGUUAAGGUAACGGCUUACCAAGGCAACGAGGCGUAGCCGACCUGAGAGGGUGGUCGGCCACCCUGGAACUGAGACACGGUCCAGGCUCCUACGGGAGGCAGCAGUCGGGAAUCUUCCGCAAUGGGCGAAAGCAUGACGGAGCAACGCCGCGUGAGUGAAGAAGGUCUUCGGAUCGUAAAACUCUGUUAUUAGGGAAGAACAAAUGUGUAAGUAACUAUGCACGUCUUGACGGUACCUGAUCAGAAAGCCACGGCUAACUACGUG
rnacentral:rRNA from 1 species